rnacentral:SRP_RNA from 1 species
GCCGGAGCAUAGCUCUGUCACUCUUUGAGGGCCGUCAAGAAGGAGACGUGGCUGUGUGGAUUAGCAGCGUUGUCGGGGCGUUGACUGGGUGCCCUGCUUGGUCUUGAGUCAGCGCUUCAACCCGACGGCAGCGUUGGUGAGGGAGAGCUGUUAAAGGGUGGGAAAUGGCACUAGGCUGGAAACAGAGCACGCCACCCUCCGCUUGUUGACCGUUGCAGGAACACACCCAGGAGCUCAUCAGGCAGCGAUGCCCCACACACCACGGCGACAACUUUUCGCAA